CGUCAGUUCGUACUGUGAAGCAUCCUGUUAAGUCAGGCAACGAGCGAGACCCACGCCAACAGUUGCCAGCUCGGUCCUCCCGGGGAUGGUGGGGACACUGUUGGGACCGCCUCUGCUAAAGAGGAGGAAGGAAUGGGGCAACGGUAGGUCAGCAUGCCCCGAAUUAUCUGGGCUACACGCGGGCUACAAUGGGUGGGACAAUGGGUAUCGACACCGAAAGGUGAAGGCAAUCUCCUAAACCCAUCCGUAGUUCGGAUUGUGGGCUGCAACUCGCCCACAUGAAGCUGGAAUCUGUAGUAAUCGUGUCUCAAAAUGGCACGGUGAAUAUGUCCCUGCUCCUU
rnacentral:rRNA from 1 species